AUGUUGCUGGAUGGGGAUUCCAAUUGCACACCCCGCAGCUGUAGGUCUCCAUCACCUCCCAACCUGCCUGGGGGUUUCACUUAUUUAUUUGGAAGUAGCCUCAGCAAAUGUGACGAUAUUGGUGUAGUUCAGCAGCCUGAAGGAAAAGAAAUCUAUUCAGCUUCUCUUUUAAAGAGAUAUUCCCUACUGGCUAAUAAAAACUUUAAUAAAAAUUCUGUUGAUGCUUUGCAGAUGUCCCCAAGAGCUGAGUGCUGGGUGGGCAUGGUGCAGCUAGCAGGUACAAAGAGACAGAAUUCGGGCCCAAGAAGCAGUUGGAUGGCUGCUAGAAUUUAUGUUACUAAAAUGCCCUUAUUUGUUCCAACUGAGGAAAUAUUCCUUCUGAACAGUGGAAAUGUCAUCAGCUUGGACAUCCUCGUGAGGUUUCUAGCAUCUGUGGUUCCAGUUUGGACCUGCUCUGGGCUCAGAUAAAAGAGGAAGAACAUGAUGUUGUCCUAAAGGAGGGUGCUGGCAUGAAACCACAAGCGGUCACUUGCGGCAGCAAGCUUUGCUUUGUCCCUGUCAGAAAUGAGAGGAGAAGAAAAGCACGUCUGGGGAGCUGCAGAACUCCAGGUUGCUCAGACGACUCCUUCCCAAGCAACUGUGCAUAGAACAGUAUCAUCAUGGGUUUGGUGAUGGAGGUUGGUGUUAUCGAGUCUUGGUGGCACAUUGAUAAAUAUGCAUUAAACUGCACAGGCUCAAAAUCUUCCACUCUCUACCACGUUUCUGUUGGGUUUGUGCUUUUUUGGAGAUAAAAUGUUUUCUCUCUCAGUUAGGGCUGUAAGAUCCCUACUCGGGGUCUGGUGCUUUGCUCUCUGGGCUGAGUCCCUCUGAACAGCAGUGCUGCUGCUCACCCAGUAGCCACAUUCACUGGACUUGGGCACAGCCUCAUCCCUUCUGCCAUCAAAGUGAAAAAUGGAUAGGAAAAACUGAGCAUAAACUGACUGAUACUUUUGCCCAGUACAAGCUGGCUUAAUUUUGGAAACAGGCACAACAGCACUACAGCUCUUGUGAUGCCAAAAAAGCCUUUCUGAAGGGAAAAUACAUCCUUCAUUUGUCCACUGUGUUUUUUAAUCAUGAUCCCUCCACAGAUGAAAAUGUCAAUGUUAGAUAAAAAUGAGAGCAAGUCACUUGGUUGACUCUUAAAGAUGCACUCAGUGCAGCCACGGUUAGGUUUGCAGGACAGUAAGAGUCUUCAGGAGAGCCAUUGAUCCAUCAAGAAGGGGGAAGUAGGGGCAUUCACUGCUGGAUAAAAAUAAGCUACUUGAGCAAGAGAUGGCACAAGCUGCUGUGGUUUGCUUUCACGUGACACCUUGAAGAGGAAAUAGAGGAGAUGACUUAGACGGACAUUGAGAUGACUUAGGUAGGGCAGUGCCCCUCAGAAUGAUUCAUAUAACUUCAAAGUAGCCUCUCUUUCUCACAUGCAAAUUUUCCAUUUGGCACAGUUGACAUGGGUAUAGAGGAAGAAAGGGAUUGCCCUUGUGCAGUUCUCCUGCGUGUAGGAACAACGAUUGAAAAAAAACCUGAUUUCACAUGGCCACCCUUAAGCAUUACCUCGUCUGAUUCAAAUAUUAACACAGAGUCCCCACUAUGUAUGUGUGUAUAUAUAUAUAUGUAUACAUAUAUGUACACAAAACUCUUGCUUACCAUCCCCUUACUGCUCACAGCUACACAUGAAGGAGAGAGGUUCCGGAUGUGGAUUCAGUGGGGUAGAAAAGUAAAGCUUUCCCAAUUUAAGGAAAUAAGAAGUUAAGGGAACAGAGAGAUGAAAAGAUAAAAUUAGCUCUUGGAGAGAUUAAACUUAAGUGCCCAUAACUAGAAGCCAACUUCCAGCUAACAGUGCAGGGCAGAUGGAUCCUGAGCUGGUAAAAGAGCAUCUCAGUAAAGUUCGAGUUUCAGUUUCUUCUACCAAGGCAACAUCAGAAGUAUUUCAGAUUUCUGAAUUUUUGUUGUUUGCUCUCCCUCCCGCCCUCCCCCACAUUCAACCGGGAAGGAGGAGUAUAUUCUCUUUGAAAGUGUUUUUCAAACAGACUUAGUCCAGCGGGUGAUUAGUCCACAUGUCUGUGGUUUGUGUGUGUGUAUGCAUUCAAAUACACAGGAGGCAGAGAAGAAAAGAGGACUGGAGGCAAAGUGGAUCCAAAGUAUGAGCUAUCUCCUUAUUAAAGACAUACCACAGCCUGCAUGUAACUCCCAAUGAACUCUUAGAUCACCACAUGACCUAUUUAUCUCCAUUAGAAGCGACAAGAUGUAACCCAGUGCCCUUAUCCUGAUCCCGUGAACUUAGAAGCUCAUAGUGGUUCACAGCAAACUGCUGCCUUCAGAAGGGUGGCAUACAUAAGGCUUUGCCCGGAUGGGAAGCAUCUUAUCCAGGGUUCUCCUGACUCUGAGUCAGCUUUCCUGCAGGGCUGUCAGCCUGGCAUUCAUUAGGAGGCCUGCAAAUGACAUUGCUGAAAAGCCAUAAGUCAAAUCCAAGAUGGCAGAUGGAGUGGUUUGUUGGGUGAACAGUGCUCACCUCAAAGUUGCUGGACAAACAAUUUCAUGGUGUCCUGCUGUUUUCAGUAUCCCAUUCGUCCCUUGGAGGGCUGUUUGCUUCCUUCCUUUGGGCAUGAUAUUAUGCUCAGCUGCAUCCAUGCUGGCUCACUGAAGAGAUGAGAAGAAGAUUUGAUGCUGUAGGACUUGUUCUGUGCCUCUUUACUUUGGAAAGCAGCAUCAGAACCAACCUUUCAAAUAUCACAAGAUAAUGAGACUAGUUUCAAAAGUACAGAGGAUAUUUUUGUGUGUGUGUGUCCAGUUUAAAAUAAAUAAAUAAAUGGAAAGAAGAAAUGUUCUGUU
rnacentral:lncRNA from 1 species